rnacentral:rRNA from 1 species
UACGUAGGGGGCAAGCGUUGUCCGGAUUUAUUGGGCGUAAAGAGCUCGUAGGCGGUUUGUCGCGUCUGCUGUGAAAAUCCAGGGCUUAACCCUGGACCUGCAGUGGGUACGGGCAGACUAGAGUGCGGUAGGGGAGAUCGGAAUUCCUGGUGUAGCGGUGAAAUGCGCAGAUAUCAGGAGGAACACCGGUGGCGAAGGCGGAUCUCUGGGCCGUAACUGACGCUGGAGGAGCGGAAAGCAUGGGGAGCGAACAGGA